CAUUCACGGAGAGUUUGAUCCUGGCUCAGGACGAACGCUGGCGGCGUGCUUAACACAUGCAAGUCGAACGAUGAACCACUUCGGUGGGGAUUAGUGGCGAACGGGUGAGUAACACGUGGGCAAUCUGCCCUUCACUCUGGGACAAGCCCUGGAAACGGGGUCUAAUACCGGAUACCACUCUCGCGGGCAUCUGCGAGGGUUGAAAGCUCCGGCGGUGAAGGAUGAGCCCGCGGCCUAUCAGCUUGUUGGUGAGGUAAUGGCUCACCAAGGCGACGACGGGUAGCCGGCCUGAGAGGGCGACCGGCCACACUGGGACUGAGACACGGCCCAGACUCCUACGGGAGGCAGCAGUGGGGAAUAUUGCACAAUGGGCGAAAGCCUGAUGCAGCGACGCCGCGUGAGGGAUGACGGCCUUCGGGUUGUAAACCUCUUUCAGCAGGGAAGAAGCGAAAGUGACGGUACCUGCAGAAGAAGCGCCGGCUAACUACGUGCCAGCAGCCGCGGUAAUACGUAGGGCGCAAGCGUUGUCCGGAAUUAUUGGGCGUAAAGAGCUCGUAGGCGGCUUGUCACGUCGG
rnacentral:rRNA from 1 species